rnacentral:lncRNA from 1 species
GUCAUGGAAUAAGUGCAGGAAGCAUGAGAAAUAUAUUAUAGUGUAUUUUCAAAGAUGUUUACAUUUAUACUGUAUAACUUUCUUUUUAUACAUUUAUGGUAUAUUUUAGAAUGCAGUGACCUAUGACAAUGUGCAUGUUGACUUCACUCAGGAAGAGUGGGCUUUGCUGGAUCCUUCCCAGAAGAAUCUCCAUAAAGAUGUGAUAGUGAAGACUACAGGAUCCUUACUGCUAUAGUUUUUAUCCAUUUGGCACUCAUCUUGAAGUAUUUCCUCCUAAAGGAAUUAUCUACAGAUGCCAGGUAAUGUAAAGACAGAUUUAUUUUUUAAAAACAUGUCUGGUGUGUGUGUGUGUGUGUGUGUGUGUGUGUGUGUGUGUGUGUGUGUGUGUGAUGGGUUACAAUGGGUAACAGAUAUGUUUGUGGGUUUUCUUUUAGCCCUGUUCACAUGUGAUCAAGGUCAGGUUUCCAGUCUUGCACACAACAUCACAUCGUUUAUUCUGGGGGAGUAAACACUUGUGUACCAGCACCGAUGUCCCCAGGAGCCAGGGAGAUGAAAUGCCAACUCAAGGGAUGAUUCGAUGAGCCACCACAUCUGCUGUUCCCAUUGUAGAAAACUUGUCAAGGCAGUGAAGGAACCUCUCACAUUUGAUUGUAACUGCAAGACCAAACAAGGAAAAUGGGUGCAUGACAAGGACAGGGCCCUGAAACCAUUACUACAGCGACUCCAUCAAAGACCUCAGCAAUGAAGAAAAGUGACUAGAAAAGGUAAGGUAACGAAAAAGGGUUGGGA